rnacentral:lncRNA from 1 species
AUGCGUACUCACUGACAUAGAGUGAAUCACCAUGCGCCAAAUCUGCCCAUGAAAAUCCUUACGUUAAAUAGAAUUGAAAGGCCUUUAGUGAAUCGGGGACAAAAUCGGGAUGCAUUUUGGGAGACGCAUUAGUCGAUGAGAGCGCAUGGAUCCUUAUAGCUUGCUUAUAGCUCAACGUGAAUCCGCCACUAGCCGCAACACCUUCACCUAUGAUCGCUGCGAUCUGAACUGUAAUAAUGCGGCCGCUCUGUCAUCGUUGCCCAAUUACCCAAGCCUGUUACGAAGCUGUCCUGUAAAACACCGCUCCCCGUAGGCAUCAUCCUGGGUCACUUUUACUCCCACCUUCUGUGCAACAGCAGGAGCUAAAAAAACACUUCGAAAUUCUCAGUAACAAGUGAAAAUUGUUACCGUAAGAUGUCGUUUGAUUCGAAAUCAGCUGAUCAACCCCUCCCUCCCCACCGCCCCCUCAACAUUUUAUUACCUGUUCUGUUUACUGUUUCUUCUUGCGCUUGCCUAGUUGGCUAGUUCUAGUUGGAUGCUUGGCUUCUUCAAUUCUUCAUGGAAAUAUAUCUUAAUAGUUGUUCAUGGAAAGUCGUACGUACGACUGGCCCUGCCUUCCACCACCAUUUAACUCAACAUGUGGUCAAUCCAGAUUGCUGAAUGAUAACAACUAGAGUUAAAGCACUAGUUUGAAAUCCUUUGGACCCCAAUGCCAAGUUCAUCUCUGCUUCUUGUCUGACGAAGAACAAUGGCAGCCAUUGUAACACACACAACCAUCAAUGAUCAUAUCCUAGACUUGGCUAGUGAGGAGGAUUUCUUGAACCCAAGCAAGUUCAACACACUUCCCAUCCUAAGGAUGUUUAUACUUUGACUAACCUGAAGGAUGUCAUUGGAUCAUCUGCCCUUAAUGAUGAAACUUAUUUUGGGGGGGUUUGGGGUGGAGCCUGCUGCUAUAGCUGCCAUCCAACUUUACCAAGCAAUAAGCUUGGUUUGAAGUCUGAAAAAAAUCCCAAAUGUGACAAGAUGAUAAAGAACUUUCACUUAGAUGGUCUGCAUUAUUGGCUCCUACCCCGCUGCUUUGGUGAUAAAGGAGUUGGUUCUGAGUGGCAAACUCACCGAGUAUUGUGUGGUUUUUUCCUCUCCUAUUACUUGUGCAUGCCAUCUGAGAAGCUGUUGACCUCUUCGUGGGAUCUCUGGAAGGAAAACCUCAUCAAGACC